rnacentral:lncRNA from 1 species
UGGAAAUUUCAUUUGAAAAGACUUGGGAAAGCAACACAAUAAUAUACAGAAAGUACCAACUAGAAAUUUUGUUUUGUACCUAUUUGUCUUAGGGAAUUUUAACGAAAAGUUUCCGAUACUAUUCAUUUUAACGAAAAACCACAUUUUUACACUAAAAAGUCAAUCCUGGUACUAUUCACUUUACUCUUUAUUUUGUCUUUAUCGUUAAAACACAAAGUUUUCAAGCCAUUUUCAUUAGUUUUUCUUUUGUUUUAAUCUCUAUCCCGUCGAGAUAAAAAGCUACCUACAAAUGCAUAUGCACAAGAUAUUUCUGCACUUAAAUACACUUUGGGAAAUGGCAUUUUAAUGCAUUUUCUCACUUUUCUCCUUUAAUUACUAACAGAAAGCACACACUUUGUGUGUCUGAACAAUUUUUCUUAAUAAGUGCAUAUUUUUUUUAAUAUUACAUAAUUAUUAUUUUGUCCUCCUUAUGUAAAUAUUGUGUAUCAAAAGUGAUGGUAGAAUUGGAAAAAUAAGUAUAUGAUUAUCAUUUUCUCAAAAAAAAAAGGUAAAAUAGGAAAAAUAGGAAUAUGAUUGUCAUUUUCUCAAAAGAUACAAAAUUAUUGUUUUUCCCUCUUCAUGUCAAUAUUGUGUAUUAAAAGUGAGGGCAAAAUAGGAAAAAAAGUGGCAAAAAGUUGAUAAGGAGGGUUCUCUUAAUAAUAAUAUAGAUAAGUUUUAUCCUACUUUAGAUUUUACUAUAGCCAGGUUUUGUGAUACUUCUUAUGCAUUCUUUUGUUUAUUUUGAGACUUUCAUUCGUUCAUUAUGCCGACUAAACGAGAUGAUUUUAUCAAGUGCUUCUACAUCAUAUGAGGAUCUUGUGCAAUAUCUACUUUGUAUUUACACACUCAAGAGAAGUGUUGUAAUUUAAAUAUUGAAUACUGUGUGAUUGUAUAAGUCUUUGGUUUGGUUUAGCAUUCCUAUGUAAUCUAGUGAUUCUAUCCUAUCAGGUUUUGUAUUACUUGAAGAGCAAAUAUCUCUCUCCUUAUAGUUUACUAUAAAUAAAGGCCCCGACACAAGGAAAACACAUCUACAAUUUCUCUAAGCCCUAUUCUCUCUCUCUAAUGCCGCCAACACCAUCUCUCUCCCUUUAGUAAAUAGACACAACAUCAUAGAUAUUUUUCCUAUAUUAUCUGUUUGUCCACAUACAUAUAGAGAGUAAUGUUAAGUAUACCAACUUUUUUCCCCAUCUGCUAACCAUGUUAUGUGUUACCAAUAGAAAAUAAGCACAUUAAGUAACACUUAAGUAAUAUUCAAUCACCAACAAAUAUGUAAUAUAGUUUACAAAAUAUAAUAUAAAUAGAUGAUCUCUCUAUCAUUUGUUUGAGUGGAUAUUUAAUGUUGGGCUUAAUGAGAGUGGAGGUCCAAGAACACAAAAAGCAAAGGGAGGAUUGGGCUCGGACAAGGCAACAUCCCAAGAAGAAUUAAAAAUCAUUUUUGCCAAGGAAUAGACAAUAGGCAUAUGAGAGAAGUGACACUCAAAAUGGCAGCUCAUCCCAGCAAAAAGUACUUUUCGAGGGCAUGGAUGGGUAAAUAAGUGGUGACUCACCACGUUCCAGAGGACAUCACCAAAAGGCAAAGCUUGGAUAGUCGGGCUAAAAUGUUUAUAAAAGCAGCAAGGGAUCCUAGAGACAAGAACACUCAACCAAUCAAUCAAAAGACAUCCCAUUUUUCUCUCAGACAAUCAAGAAACUAGAAAGCUUUAGUUUGUCUAGACUCUGUUCUUUUUGUCAUAGAUUCACCGUAGAAAGCCAUCUUUUGUCAAGCUUUAGAAACUCUGCUACUUUUCCCCAACGUUGUAGUAUUGAAUCACAUUAGUAAAACUUGUUUUACCUUUCAUUCUCCAAAGAUUACAACCCUUGUAAAAACAAAGAGAAGUGACUGCAAGAGGAUGAACCUUAAGUAAAGUAGAUAUGUUGUUUAAUGCAUCUUCCUUCAUGUUUAAAAUCAUUUUCAACUGCUUUUCGUUCAAAAAUUUAAUUUGGUGAUUAAUCGGUCUAAACUAAUUAACCUUGCUUCUUUAAUGUUAACUGUAAUUAAAGAAAUAGUUGAAAGAGCCUUGAACUCCCUUUACCUGGACAUAUAAUAUCAUGAGUAAAAGUCCUUGUUUACAAGGCAAGAAAAAGAAUCUUACAUAGACUUAAUCCAUCUGUAACAAUCCAGUAAGAUCAAGAAGUCUAAGUAACUUGUGCCGCAAGUAAUCAACCCAGUAAAAAAACUAAAAAGAACAAUUUGUUAUCCAAAGAUAAUGGUGGCACACUCAGAUCUAUAUUAGUUUU